rnacentral:rRNA from 1 species
CGUGCAGGCGGUUCCAUAAGUGGGAUGUGAAAGCUCCUGGCUCAACUGGGAGAGGUCGUUCCAGACUGUGGGACUGGAGGAUGGUAGAGGGAGGUGGAAUUCCGGGUGUAGUGGUGAAAUGCGUAGAUAUCCGGAGGAACACCAGUGGCGAAAGCGGCCUCCUGGACCAUUUCUGACGCUCAGACGCGAAAGCUAGGGUAGCAAACGGGAUUAGAGACCCCGGUAGUCCUAGCUGUAAACGAUGUAGACUUGGCGUCGGUGGGUUUAAAUCCAUCGGUGCCGCAGCCAACGCGAUAAGUCUACCGCCUGGGGACUACGGCCGCAAGGUUAAA